rnacentral:rRNA from 1 species
UACGUAGGGUGCAAGCGUUGUCCGGAAUUAUUGGGCGUAAAGAGCGUGUAGGCGGCCCGACAAGUCCGCUGUGAAAGUCCAGGGCUCAACCCUGGAAUGCCGGUGGAUACUGUCGGGCUAGAGUCCGGAAGGGGCGAGUGGAAUUCCUGGUGUAGCGGUGAAAUGCGCAGAUAUCAGGAGGAACACCAAUGGCGAAGGCAGCUCGCUGGGACGAGACUGACACUGAGAGACGAAAGCUAGGGGAGCGAAUGGG